UUUAAGUGCAACCAUAAGUUUCUGCACCCAAAUCCAUCUUAAUUGAAUUUUUUUUAUAACUAGUAUUUUUAUUAUUAUGAGAUGAUAAAACAUGAAUAGUACUUUAUAAGUGACAUAUGUUUUUAAUUUUUUUAUUUUUUUUAAAAAAAUAAAACGUACAGUCAAAGUUGUGCACGAAAAAUCAUAGCUGCACUUAAA
rfam:Oryza glumipatula chromosome 10, whole genome shotgun sequence.